AACGUAGGGGGCGAGCGUUAUCCGGAAUCACUGGGCGUAAAGGGCAUCUAGGCGGUGUAUUAAGUCCUGCGUGAAAGCUCCUGGCUCAACUGGGAGAGCGCGUGGGAGACUGGUGCGCUAGAGACUCGGAGAGGGGUGUGGAAUUCCCGGUGGAGUGGUGAAAUGCGUUGAGAUCGGGAGGAACACCAGUGGCGAAGGCGGCAUCCUGGACCAACACUGACGCUGAGGAGCGAAAGCCAGGGGAGCAAACGGG
rnacentral:rRNA from 1 species